rnacentral:sRNA from 1 species
AACCAAAGUGGAAAUUCAGGUUCUGAACUUGUGUGAGGCCCUUGAGGUGCAGCCCCAGGGAAAGAGGGGCUGGGUUUCCAGCUGCGCUACUCUUGCCCUGCAGACAUAGAUGAGUGCAGCCAGGACCCGGGCCUGUGCCUUCCCCAUGGGGCCUGCAAGAACCUUCAGGGCUCCUAUGUGUGUGUCUGCGAUGAGGGCUUCACUCCCACCCAGGACCAGCACGGUUGUGAGGAGGUGGAGCAGCCCCACCACAAGAAGGAAUGCUACCUGAACUUCGAUGACACAGUGUUCUGCGACAGCGUAUUGGCCACCAACGUGACCCAGCAGGAGUGCUGCUGCUCUCUGGGGGCCGGCUGGGGCGACCACUGCGAAAUCUACCCCUGCCCAGUCUACAGCUCAGGUCAGGAGCCGGGCAGGCCCCUUCCCAGGUCUUCAGUUUCUUCAUCUGGAAGCCAAAUGUGGGAAAUGGCGCCCCCUGGCGGUUGGGAAAUAGGCGGCGGGCUGCAGCCCUAAGCCCACGCGCGCGCUCAG